GAACUGUGCGAACGUUAUUCGGAAUCACUGGGCUUAAAGGGUGCGUAGGCGGCUAUAAAGGUCAGACGUGAAAUCCCACGGCUCAACCGUGGAACUGCGUUUGAAACCGUAUAGCUUGAGGAAGUCAGAGGUAAGCGGAACUGAUGGUGGAGCGGUGAAAUGCGUUGAUAUCAUCAGGAACACCGGUGGCGAAAGCGGCUUACUGGGACUUUUCUGACGCUGAGGCACGAAAGCCAGGGGAGCGAACGGGGAUUAGAUACCCCGGUAGUCCUGGCUGUAAACGAUCUGUACUAGUCUGUGGGGACUUCCACAUCCUCUCGGACGUAGCGAAAGUGUUAAGUACAGCGCCUGGGGAGUAUGGUCGCAAGGCUG
rnacentral:rRNA from 1 species